AUGAACGCUGGCGGCGUGCCUAAUACAUGCAAGUCGAGCGAACAGACGAGGAGCUUGCUCCUCUGACGUUAGCGGCGGACGGGUGAGUAACACGUGGAUAACCUACCUAUAAGACUGGGAUAACUUCGGGAAACCGGAGCUAAUACCGGAUAAUAUAUUGAACCGCAUGGUUCAAUAGUGAAAGACGGUUUUGCUGUCACUUAUAGAUGGAUCCGCGCCGCAUUAGCUAGUUGGUAAGGUAACGGCUUACCAAGGCAACGAUGCGUAGCCGACCUGAGAGGGGAUCGGGCCACACUGAACUGAGACACGGUCCAGACUCCUACGGGAGGCAGCAGUAGGGAAUCUUCCGCAAUGGGCGAAAGCCUGACGGAGCAACGCCGCGUGAGUGAUGAAGGUCUUCGGAUCGUAAAACUCUGUUAUUAGGGAAGAACAAAUGUGUAAGUAACUAUGCACGUCUUGACGGUACCUAAUCAGAAAGCCACGGCUAACUACGUG
rnacentral:rRNA from 1 species